AUCUGGCUGCGGAGCGCCGGGCUCUGUGCUGCUGUCUCUAUUGGCACGGUGAUAGAGAAGCGGCCUGCCUUCCCAGAUAACCCCCCCCCCCCCUUCUGUUCUCCUCCGCAGCCCUUCAGGCUUCCUGUUUGCUGCAGGCGUCGCAGAAACUGCUCCCACACCCAUUAGACAGCAACACGUCUGCCGGUGACAAGUUGGCCUCCAUGACUGGAGAAGAUAAAGGACGAGGAGGAAGGAGAAAUGGGAGGAAGCAGGCAAACAGUUUCCUGGACAAAUCCCAACAGGCUACCUCAGAUCCCAGUGAAAUCCGAUUGCUUGUUCAAGUUCACGUCACAUCCUCCUCUCGUCAAAGAAAACCAGACAACAACACAAAGAUAGAAGGAAAGAAGACGAUGUGUGGCUCGCCCUUAUUAUUGUCAAUGGUUGAUGAAACAGUGUGUGUGGGGGGGGGGCAAUGCCAGAGAGAACUGCUGGUGUAACGUAAUGACGAGAGACAGAAUGGGGUGAGAUGGAGGAUGGAGGGAUGACAGAGGGAGCCCCCAGAGUUCAGGACGGAGGAGGAGACAGAAGGUGAAUCCUGAUCAACCUCUUUCAACGCCACGACACACUGAGCUUCAGAUCUACCUUCACACGGAUCUCACACUCCAACAAUUACACAGGACGUCUGUGGGUGGCGGCUGCUUUUCCUUCCUCUGCCACUUCCACUUCCUCUAAACUGUUUUCACGAGCCUGUAGGUUUUACCGGAGCAGACACCAGGCAGCUGUUGCUCAGGUGAGACUUCGGCGAGUGACACCUCCAGUCCCACCGGCCUGGACACAUCCGUCCACUUCAAUCUCAUCAUGGAGAUUUAGGUGGAAAUUAAGGAAAGGGUUAGAAAUAGAAAGGAUGUAAUGGAGAAUAAAUAAACAAAUAACACAUAAUUAACUUUAUCAUGCCCUGGUUUACUGACCUGGUUUUAACGUGGUCCUGAGCGACCUAAUCACAAGUGGACAGUGUUGAGUUCAUGUGUUCG